GGUUGUCAGGGUUGGGUCGCUUAUGCGGUUAUUUGACAUCCUGAAUUCAAAUAUAACACUCAGUUCUGGCGCAACUGCUUAUUUACCAAUGUCAGGGUUAGGUUAGGUAAUGUUAGGCUAGGUAAGGCUAUAAUAUUCUAUUUUUUUUUUGCGCCACUAACGUAUCAUUUGUAAUUUGGAAAUGUAAUAACCUUAGAAGUAACAAUUUAUGCAUGGAAUCGGUGCCGGACCUGUCAAUAUUUACCUCUAUUUGAAAGAUGGUGAUGAUAUUGACUGCUAACAUGACAGAUAGAUGUACUUAAUGUUUAAAAAUAAGGCCGAAAAUACAGAACAAGAAUCAAGAUUUCGUCUUUACUACAGCAUCAGGUAUUCUCACCUCGGGUUCCAACAUGCCCAAGCAUCAAUAUGUCGCGUUGCUGCAUCAAGGCUUGUUUUUUACAUUUUGAUUAUCAGAAAGGGCAAGCUGAGUCUCAUGGCAUCAAAAUGCACAGGGUUCCGGUGCAUGGAGAUAGCAGGCGAAAGGCCUGGCUGGAUGCCCUCGGCAUCCCAUACACCCACAAGAAACUUUACGUGUGCAGUCGCCAUUUCCGGACAGGAGACUUCCACCGCAGUGGCUACAUCUUACAUAAUGCUGUCCCUUCAAUGAAUCUCGGCACCGGAGGCGACUCGGCACCAGCGCCGCCAUGCGAUGUGCCAGCCGCUGGCGCGGCAGACGGAGGCGACUCGGCACAGGCGCCGCCAUGCGAUGUG